rnacentral:SRP_RNA from 1 species
GCUGGGUGUGGUGGCUCACGCCUGUAAUCCCUGCACUUUGGGAGGCUGAGGCGAGUGGAUCACCUGAGGUCAGGAAUUCGAGACCAGCCUGACCAACAUGGUGAAACCCCGUCUCUA